GCGAGGACUGAGGAGGCAGUGGAAACAUUUCUGCCCUCCAAAAAUUUGCAGUGGACGACCAUGGCUGCUUCUUCUUCCUCCUCAAAAAAUUUUCAGUGGAAGCACGAUGUGUUCUUGAGCUUCAGAGGCAAAGAAACUCGCACUAACUUCACCAGCCAUCUAUAUCAAGCUCUGCGCAUGAAAGGAAUCAACACUUUCAUCGAUUGGAAGAUUGAGAGAGGAGAAGAGAUCACUCCUUCGAUUGUUGACGCGAUCAAAGGAUCAAGGAUCUCCGUUGUUGUCUUCUCUCAAGACUAUGCUUCUUCUUCGUAUUGCUUGGAUGAAUUGCUGACGAUGCUUUCUUUUAAGCAUGAGUCAAAACACCAUGUCGUUAUCCCCCUCUUCUACAAGGUGGAUCCUGAGGAUGUAAAGCACCAGACAGGCAGGUUUGGUCAAGCAUUUGAUAAAUCUGAAGCGCAUUCGGAGGAGAAGUUGAAAGAAUGGAGGGAAGCUCUAACCGAGGCUGUUAAAUUGGCUGGGUUUCACUUGGAUAACAAUAGGGAUGAGGCUAAAUUUAUUCAGAGUAUUGUUGAAGAUGUCUCAGCUAAACUGAACCGCAAAUUGUUACCUGUCCCUGAACAUCAUGUUGGGAUACAAUCCCAUGUAGAUGAGGUGAUUUGUAUGUUAAAAGAUGUUCGCAUGGUAGGGAUAUGCGGAACCGGUGGAAUAGGCAAGACGACUCUUGCCAAAGCCGUUUAUAACAAAAUUGCUAAUCAUUUUGAAGGGAGUUGCUUUCUUGAAAAUGUUAGAAAAACCUCAGAGCAAACUCUUCAAGAAACCGUUCUUAUUGAGAUAAUAGGAGAUAAAAAUGUGAUGAUGGGUAACUUUGCUAGAGGAAUCAAUUGCAUAGAGGAGAGGUUAUGCAGUAAAAGGGUUCUUAUUGUUAUUGAUGAUGUGGAUAAUGUGGACCAAUUGAAAAAAUUAGCUGCACUAAAUUGCUUUGGUGCGGGAAGCAGAAUCAUUAUCACAACUAGAGAUGAACAUUUGCUAGUUGUCCAUGAAGUGGAAAGAGUAUAUAAGAUUAAAAAAUUAACUCAUGGUGAUGCUCUUGAGCUUUUUAGUUGGAAUGCGUUUAGGAAUUCCCAGUCUCCGGAUGAUUAUGCAGAGCUUUCACAUUGCUUUGUAAAUUAUGCUGACGGCCUUCCUUUAGCUCUUGUUGUGCUGGGCUCCUUUUUGUACAAAAGACCCGUGCCUGAAUGGGAAAGCGAAAUGGCUAGGCUGAAACAAAGUCCUAAUAAACGAAUAUUUGAAAUACUCAAGAUAAGCUAUGAUGGCCUAGAGGAUAAUGAGAAAGCCAUUUUCCUUGACAUUGCAUGCUUCUUUAAAGGGAUGGACAAAGAUGUUGUGAUGAAAAUUCUAGAUGCAUGUGAUUUCAACCCAGUCAUUGGAGUAAAAGUCCUCAUUGAGAAGUCCUUGAUAAGCAUAGAAAACAAUAAGAUACAGAUGCAUGCUUUAGUACAAUCAAUGGGCAAAGAAGUUGUUCGCCAGCAAUCUGCAAAACCUAAUGGGCGCAGCAGAUUGUGGUUUCAUGAGGAUGUUCUUGAGGUUCUCGCGGGAAAUAUGGGAACAGAUGACAUCGAAGGCAUUUUGGUAGACCUACCUGAAUCUGAAGAGAUACAGUUGAGUGCUGAAGCAUUUUUGAAAAUGCGAAGACUUCGAAUACUGUUAAUCCGCAAUGCUCAUAUUACUGGAGGUCCUGUGGAUCUUCCUAAUGAGUUAAGGUGGCUUGAAUGGCCUGCAUGUCCAUUGCCAUCAAUGCCAUCUGGAUUUCGGGCAAGAAAACUUGUUGGGAUUAACAUGCAUGGUAGCUACAUCAGGCAAUUUGGGGAAGGAUUCAAGAAUUACUUGACAUUUAUGGAUUUGAGAGAUUGUGAAUCCCUAAUAGAAACACCAGACUUCUCAUUCAUCCCAAAUCUUGAAAGGUUGAAUCUUGGAGGUUGUUCAAAAUUAGUUGAGGUUCAUCAGUCUGUUGGUUAUCUUGAUAAACUUGAAUUUUUGAGCUUUGAGUUCUGCUCUAACCUGAAAAGUCUUCCUAGUAGAUUCAAAUUGAGAUCUCUUCGGACACUUCUUCUUACUGGCUGCACAAAACUUGAGGCAUUUCCUGAUAUUGUGGAAGAGAUGAAAUGGCUGGAGAAAGUUUGUCUACAUGGGACAGCAAUAGAAGUUCUUCCUCCAUCAAUUGAAAAUCUUACUGGGCUUAAAGUCUUAACCGUGACUUUUUGCAAAAACCUCAACAAUCUUCCAAGUAGCAUUUAUAAGUUGCGGCAUCUUAAGCGUCUACUUCUUGAAGGUUGCUCUAGAUUUGAUGAGUUUCCAUUGACUUGUAACGGACAGUCAUCAGGGUUUCCUAUGUUAAGAUUUCUGGAUCUACAAAACUGCAAUUUGUUGGGAAUCAAUUUCCUAAUGGACCAUCAUUGCUUUUCUAUGUUGAGGGAUUUGGAUCUUUCAGGUAAUGAUUUUGCCAGUCUUCCACAAAGCAUUCGCCUACUGAAUAACUUGAGGAGCCUCAAAUUAUCCAACUGUAAGAAGGUCCAAGAAAUUCCAGAGCUUCCAAUGAAUAUGAAAAAAGUAGAAGCAAGAGAUUGUCGAUCACUGGAAAGAUUUUCUCAGUUACAAAGGGUAUUUAGAUGUAAUAAAGAGGAGAGGCCAAGCAAACUUCAUGAUAUUGACUUCUCCAACUGCCACAAACUUGCUGAAAAUGAGGGCAAAUUUCUUGAGAGGUCAUUACUGAGUAAGAAAUUUCGUCAGGAUCUUCGGAUUGAAAUAUUUCUUCCUGGAAGUGAGAUUCCAGAUUGGUUUAGCCAUUUUAGUGAAAAGGAUUCUUUAUCAUUCCAAGUACCCUCACAGAAGAGCGAGAAAAUCAGAGCCUUGGUUCUUUGUGCCAUUUUAAGUUUAAAGGAUGGAGAGACAGCAAACAUAUCACGUGAAGUUUUCAUCAAUGGUCAAAAUGUGAUAAUGUUUUCCAGACAGUUCUUUUCAUUGGAGUCGGAUCAUAUGUGGUUGUACUAUCUUCCACGUCGUUUUAUUAAGGGCUUGCAUUUGAAGCACGACGGUUUGUCUCACUUUGAGGUUUCAUUUAAAGUCCUUGGAGUAUCAAUUGGUUCAAUCCUGAAAAGUUGCGGGGUCUAUCUGGUUUACAAGCAAGAUGAGGUAGUGGAGGAUCCAAGUGUUAGCCAAUCUGUAAGUCGUCAAAUGGAGUCAACGUCAUUUGAUCUCAAGAGAAGUUGUGAUAAUGACUUGGAACUCGAUCUUGAUUUGAACUUGAAGUUGAAGAAAAGGACGACUGAAGAGUCUCAAAUAGCUAAAAACUGCACUGAGUGGCACCUUGAGCCUCCAACGCCAUUCAAUACUUGUGAGCAUCAGGGGAAACAGUGGCUUUCCUUAUCUCUACAACCACACAGGAAUCAAAUGACGGAGGAUCAUGUAGCAAUGUUCAGCACUCAUGGCAGUUAGUGUGAGCUCACUUUGCAACAGAUGCUCUGAUGACUCACGAUCCAGUGGGCUUGAGAGAUUUGGAAAAUUUGUAGGAAUAACAAUGAUUGGUUGCCAGUGAUUCAAUAAUAGGCACCCAAAAUUACUGAACAAUUUCUUCUUCCUCUAGUAUCCUUGGCAGAUUUGUGAACAAAUGCUUACGAGAGUAACACAGCAGCUGCUUUCUGUCUUGGGUUGGAUGCUUUAUGCCCUUCAUUUUGUGAAUUUGUUUCACUUGCAUCUAGAAGGGGUGAUGUUGCUGUGUUUUCCAGCUAUUACAUCACCAAGUACCAACUUUUUCCACUUACUGGUGGAACAAGAUAAAGACAAAAAACUGUUUAGACGCUACUUAUAGUAGUGUUGCUGAUUUGGAGAGCGUGGACCCACAAAAAAAAAAAGCAUAUAAAGCUUCAAAAGAAGCAAGCUAUCCACUUCAGCAGGAUGCUAAGCAUCCAAGCUCCUACCUAGGGAAAAACAUCUCUUUAGUAAAUAUUUUGGCAAGUUAAAGCACAAUAAAUCUGUCAUUUUGAGGGAUGAAACCAGCCAUUUUGCCAGCAUACAAGAACUGCUUCAGUUUGUGCUAAACCCAUGGCCUUGUUGAAAAACCGCCAAUCCACCAGAAUGAACUGGUGCAGAGAGUCCUAGCCAAUUUGCCGCCACCAAGUGCACCCCAGCACAGCCUGUCAAAACCUGCAAUCACAAAAGGUUAUCUUUCCUCUGCAUAAAAUUCUUAAAAGGGGACAAAAUGAUCAGGGUUUCAAAAUGAUCAGGGUUUAACUCUUGCUGUCCUGCAAUUUGGGACACAAAUGAACUAAAUUGUUUUCACUUGUACCUUUGAUUUGAUAGUAGUUUCAUCUUCCAAAUGAACAACAAUGGAAGCACCUCCAAGUUCUCGCUUUUCAAUAGCGGUGAGCUUGGAGAAAACCGAAUUGAAUUUGCUGGCAAUUCUUGUGCCAGAGCUUCUAA